rnacentral:sRNA from 1 species
UUUUUAAUCCAUUGUCGUAUUUAUUAUAUCGUCGGGCAAAUACGUGACAAUUAUAUUUAAUAUUAAACUAUAAAAGGCGAUUGUAUAAAAAUAUCUGCAUAAGCUUUAAAUAAAUAAUAUUUAUAAAUAGUAAAUCAAAAUAUUUUACAGUUUGGCAAUAUUUUAACCGUAUAAUUUAUUACUAAAUAGUUAGCAAAUGCUAUAUUUAAAAGGGCUGUUACUUCUUCAAAUUAUUUAUCGCCGUCAACAAAUUCUACAACCAGAUUAGGAUUGUGAUUUUUGUUUUUUUACCACGCCAUUUUACUCUUUAUACGUGCAACGAAAUUCUCCUCGAAUUUACUUUCAACUUUUAUUCGCUAAUAUGAAAAUUUCCAAGAUUGUUUCGGCUAUUGCUUUAUAUUCCGUUGGAAUAGCGGCUUUACCUACCAAUUAUUAAUAUAUCACCGAAUGCGGCGACAAAACCGGAGUUAACCUCCAUUCCAAACGCUCAAGCGACGUUAGUGGCUCAGCUGGUGCUAAUACUGUUUAUAUAUGCAACAAAUGUUAUUGGUACAACCACAAAGAUUAAUAUACGGUCGCAGACCACAUGUCCAAAUGCAAUGGUAAUAGUGACUUAUUUCCAACUUAAUUUGAAUUUAUAAGCAUUUGGCGGGAAUUUUCAUUUGCUUUGAAAAAUAUAUAUUAAUAAAAGGGUUUAGAAUAAGUUACAGAUUAGAAUUAAGGGUUAUGCGUUCAAUUUAUUAGUUUAAUUAAUAACUUAUAUGCAAUACUGCACGUAACUUACACACAUAACUUACCCGGUUUCAAUUACGGGUAUAAGAUGAAAGGCCGUUCAAAAGUUUAACUUUAAACAAUUUUAUAAAACCUGCACAAUAUACCAGCUUUACCCGUAAUAACGCUUUCUUAAUUAAUCGAUUUAAGAAAGGACUACUUACAUAUAAUAUUAUGGCCAGCUGGGGUGGGUAUUUUAUUACAUUAUAUAACCUAGACUGGGUUGCAGGGCAUCCAGUUUAAUCCCUUAAUCUUUUGGGCAGAACGGAGGGUUAUACGUUCUUUAUAUAUAACGCGAUUAAACAAUUACCUUGCCGGCCAAAAUAGUAAAUUAACAUUUAUUACUACGGCCAGGGUAAAUAUAACACGGAAACUAGUCUAUUGGCAUUUAUGAACGAAGAUUUUACUUUAAGGAGGGUGAAGGGAAUAAAAACAGUUUUUAAUUUAACGCGAGGUAAAUAAAUAUAUUACCCUGGUGGGUAUUGGUUAGGGGUCAGGGUUGGGUUUGGUAAUUUAAUGGUCCAAAUAUUAUAUGGAUAAUCUGACGUGGUGGUUUCGACAGUUUUUCGGUCGACUUUAAUAAUUUCCUCGAAAUUUAUUAUUAUUUUAAUAUUUGAAAUCCCACUUCCUAAAAUAUUAUAUUACGACGAGAGAAUGGGGCCGGUACCAGGGAAACCAGGUGGGGUUACACCACUCCUAUUAAUAUUCGCCCACGAAAUAUAACGACGGGUAAAACACCGAUUAUUUAAAAAUAAAACCACGGGAUUUUAUAUAAUUUUACGUAACCACCAAAGGAAGUAAUUUCUAUAAUUUGUGGAGUUUUAAUGGGCAAUUACAAAUUGAAUAAAUUAAAAAGAAAUUAUAUUUAGAAUAUAAUUAACGUAAAAGAUAUUUGUUAUUAUAUAUAUAAAUUUGGUUUUAAUAUUUUUUGAAAGUAGUUGAAUUUUUAUUAAUAGUAAUAUAUAUUUAGGGACAAUUGUAAUUUUAUUUAUAAUUAAUCGAGAGUUAAUUAUUUAAUUAAACUUUUAAUUAUUUUCAUUUAUUAUAUUUUAAUAUAAAAAUAAGUUAUAAAUUAUAUUAGGUGUUAAAAGCGGUUGAGGGGUAAACCGUAGGUUCGGCGUAAUAUUAACCAGUGAUAAAAAAGCUGUAGCAAUAGUAAAAAUACCCUGUAAAUAUAAGGUAAAAUGCAUUAGAAUUUGGGGCAAUUGGUUUUAUUAAUUGGGGGAGAUUUGCUAUUUUCCCGUAUAUACCCUCCGAUAUCAAAAUGGGGGUCGGCACGCCAAAACGGCUUCCGGUGCCGCAGGUGGUUUCCCGAAAAAUUAAUUUAUAUGGGUUUUGAAAAAACACUUUUAUUUAUAUAUAAACCAUUUUUGGGUUUGCAUUUAAAUGCGAUUCUAGUGAAAUUUUCAACCCGGUAUAAAAUAAUUAAUCUGUAGGUACAGGGUGGGUAUUAAACCCGGUAUAAGAAAAUUUUAUUCGCUAAUUUUAAAAUUGCAACUUUUAUAUAAUAAAUUAAUAAAAUUCCAACAACCCCAUUUCGGUAUUAAAUAAAGAAAGUUAUAUAUAAAUAUAAGUGGGGUUAUUAUAUGCAAAAUAAUAUAUAUAACUAAUAUAAAUUAUCCAAUACUCUAAUUAUAAUAUCAUAAUUGUUUUUGUUUAAUAUUUUACUUUAUUAUUUUUAUUUAAUAUUUUAUUUCGAUUGUUUUUAAUUGGUAUAUUUGUUUAAAAGCUAGGUGGGCACCGUAAUUUAUCCGCGGUAAAUUAUAAUAUAUAGGUAAUAACGUUAUAACUUUGCAAUUCGGAUAUAUUUUGUAUAUUCUUUAUUUAAAUUAUACGAUUACAUUUUAAUUUUUACCGGCAGGUAAAGAACCUUGAUAAAAUUUGUAUUUCCUACUUACUUACCCAAAUUCCGAAACUAACGCUCCGGCCCAUCCCUUGUUUUUAUUUUAUACGCGCGCAAGUAAAACUAUUUUAAUAAUUUUAUUUUAAUUCUUUUUAUUUAAUAUUUUAUUUUAAAAUUUAUUAAAUAAUACCGCCGAAAAAAUAUUUUCCAGCAAAACCCCUUUUAAAUUUCUUCUACUACUAAUACUCCGACUAAUAUUAGCGUUUUGCGUUAAAUUAUUAUAAUAUUCGAAACGAAAUAUUGGAUAAUUCCAAAAAUAAAUAAUUAUAUAAAUUAAUGAAAUUAAUAGAAAUUAUAUUAAGUAUUUUCUAUUAUUAUUUUUUAAUUAUACUAUUAAU